CUAAGGUAGUCCUGACUGUUGUGGUGUAGAGAGGUUGUUUACCUAAGGUAGUCCUGACUGUUGUGGUGUAGAGAGGUUGUUUACCUGAGGUAGUCCUGACUGUUGUGGUGUAGAGAGGUUGUUUACCUAAGGUAGUCCUGACUGUUGUGGUGUAGAGAGGUUGUUUACCUGAGGUAGUACUGACUGUUGUGGUGUAGAGAGGUUGUUUACCUAAGGUAGUACUGACUGUUGUGGUGUAGAGAGGUUGUUUACCUAAGGUAGUCCUGACUGUUGUGGUGUAGAGAGGUUGUUUACCUGAGGUAGUCCUGACUGUUGUGGUGUAGAGAGGUUGUUUACCUAAGGUAGUCCUGACUGUUGUGGUGUAGAGAGGUUG